rnacentral:rRNA from 1 species
AGAGUUUGAUCAUGGCUCAGAACGUACGCUGGCGGCACGCCUAAUACAUGCAAGUCGAACGAAGUAGCAAUACUUAGUGGCAGACGGGUGAGUAACAUGUGGGUAUCUUCCCUUUGGUGAGGAAUAACACGAGGAAACUUGUGCUAAUACCUCAUAAGUCUUUACAGAGAAAGCUUUAUGCGCCAUUGGAUGAGCCCGCACUUGAUUAGUUUGUUGGUGGGGUAAUGGCCUACCAAGACAAUGAUCAAUAGCUGAUUUGAGAGGAUGAUCAGCCACAUUGGGACUGAGACACGGCCCAAACUCCUACGGGAGGCAGCAGUAGGGAAUCUUGCACAAUGGAGGAAACUCUGAUGCAGCGAUGCCGCGUGAGUGAAGAAGGCCUUUGGGUUGUAAAGCUCUUUCGUCGGGGAAGAAAAUGACUGUACCCGAAUAAGAAGGUCCGGCUAACUUCGUGCCAGCAGCCGCGGUAAUACGAAGGGACCUAGCGUAGUUCGGAAUUACUGGGCUUAAAGAGUUCGUAGGUGGUUAAAAAAGUUGAUGGUGAAAUCCCAGAGCUUAACUCUGGAACUGCCGUCAAAACUUUUUAGCUAGAGUAUGAUAGAGGAAAG